AGUGAACGCUGGCGGUAGGCCUAGCACAUGCAAGUCGAACGGCAGCACAGUAAGAGCUUGCUCUUACGGGUGGCGAGUGGCGGACGGGUGAGGAAUACAUCGGAAUCUACUUUUUCGUGGGGGAUAACGUAGGGAAACUUACGCUAAUAUCGCAUACGACCUACGGGUGAAAGCAGGGGAUCUUCGGACCUUGCGCGAUUGAAUGAGCCGAUGUCGGAUUAGCUAGUUGGCGGGGUAAAGGCCCACCAAGGCGACGAUCCGUAGCUGGUCUGAGAGGAUGAUCAGCCACACUGGAACUGAGACACGGUCCAGACUCCUACGGGAGGCAGCAGUGGGGAAUAUUGGACAAUGGGCGCAAGCCUGAUCCAGCCAUACCGCGUGGGUGAAGAAGGCCUUCGGGUUGUAAAGCCCUUUUGUUGGGAAAGAAAAGCAGCAGGUUAAUACCCCGCUGUUCUGACGGUACCCAAAGAAUAAGCACCGGCUAACUUCGUG
rnacentral:rRNA from 1 species